rnacentral:lncRNA from 1 species
CCAGAGGCCUGAUUAACACCAGCAGGAGUCCCUGCCCAGCGGCUCCAGCUGUCCAGCCCCACGGAGUGAUUCAACGUGAAAACAUGCAAGCAGACCUCCCGGACAUUCCGCCCCUGCCGCUGCUGCCUCACUCUGGCUAUGAAAACGCUCAGAAUUUCACAAGACUCUCUGAAAAUGUUCCUAAGGGGAGUUCUCCAGAGUUGGAGUGAGCCAGCCCUGAGUCUUCUGGAAGGGGUACAGAGGGGAAGGCGUUGUGUUCAGAGGGGCAGAGGCAGGGCUCCAACGCGACCAGCCUGAAAGGCUGGCUGCCUCUGGGCUCCAAGCUCGCCCUGCAAGGGUUCUGGCUCGCAGCUUUACGAGCAAGGGAAUUUACAGCUCUGCCCGCUUCCCCACCCACGACUACCUUUAAUUGCAAGCCUCACAUUUGCUCCCUGCACCCCUCUUGCCAAAGGCACUUCCCGACUCCCUCAGAGCAGACGGGCGCCAGCCGGGCCUCCAGACGACAACCGACAACCUCCAUGGUGACUCCUUGUCAGUCUAUUUCAACCCCAGUGCCUCAUAUUAUGCUGCUGUGUGAGAAAAGAAAGAUUCAAACAUCCCAACCAAAUGGAGUCACAGCAGAUGCUGGGCAGAUGUUCUUCAGGCAAGCGAACGAGAGACAAUAAUUAGUCUCAAUUAACUUCUCAAUAAAUUAUGUAACGGAUUCCUUGAGCCA